CCCAUCCAAACCUCAUUCACCCCACUUUCUUCUUCCCUCAUUUGACCACCAUUGAACCAAUCACCUUUCAUGCAAACCAAUUUUUAAUCUUAUUCUUUCUUUUACUUUACAUGGUAGGGGUCCCACAUGUCUCUCACUAACUUUUCCUUUUUGCAUGCUAUGGUUGCAUUUAAUACUAACUUUUACAUGUACAUCACAUUUUCCACUUAGUCUAACCUUCCUUGGUUAGCAAAUUCCCCUUUUUAACUCUAAAUAUUGAAAUUACAAAUGAGUCCUCAAACUUUUUCUUAUUUACCAUGCGACCCCUCCAACUUUCAUCCUUUAUAAUUGGGCCAUUCCAACAUUUCUUAUGUCAUGACCCGAUACUCCCCUCGAGCCCGUGACAACCGUCGCGGCUUCCUGAUAGACAUUCAUUGCCCAAAAUGCCAACCAAAACCUCGCAAGGCUUUAAUAUCAGCUUUCGCACCUCCCUUGUGAGCAACAGCUGUUAAGUAUCAUGUUUUGAGAGAUUAUAAACUAUUUCCAAAUCAAAACAAUAGAAAAAUAAUUUUUUUUCUGACGGGCAUUUUGGUCAUUUUUUCUCAAAACUCUCGAAACUAGCUAAAAAUGUAGUAUGCGAGUGGAAAACACAUAUUUCAUAAUAAAAAUAAGUUUAGAUGUCUAAUACAUACAUUUAAAGUGAAACUAUACUUAUUUGAAUAUAAUAAAAAUAUUCAAUAAAAUAUUUUAUUUUCUUAUAAAACAAUAUUUAUAGAGUUACCGGUAAAUAAUUUUUGUAGCGUAAAAGCUAAAUAAAUUCAUACAUACUGUAAUACAGAUAACCAAAGCAUAAGAUUUUAUUUACAGUGACACGUGGACCGACGAACGACCAAAAGUAUCAAAAGCGAUAAACCUACAGUUUUUGAGGAUGCAAGUCCAACUGUAGCCCUCAACGAAAUGAGCUAUCUACCGACUAUCCUAAGUCUGAAAGGGGUGGAAAGGAGGGUGGUGAGAUUAUAUAAUCCCAGUGAGUAAACAAAUAUCAUCUAAAAUAUCUAAAGCCAAGUAAAUGGAGACAGACAAAAUAGAUUAGCAUAAAAAUGAUUCACAUCAUUUCGAACUCAUUUUAAUAAGAUAAAAUAGAUUCAUUUCAUCCAAAUAAACAACGAGGCUUAUGAUUUCCUGAAAAGCUUGGCUGGUGCCAAAAUCAUUCUCAUACUCAAUUAUCAGGGAUACCUUGGCCUAAGGCUAUCCUAAUCGAGUCCGCCAAGGCUGUUAAAAAGUUAUGUACGCAUAAAUCAUGUUUUUAUUUUGAAAACAUAGCCAUUCCUUGACGUUGGCUGAGUUCACCCUCAUGUGGUAGUUUGGAGUGAAGGUUGUACCUCAGGAGUUACCCUACGCACCUCCCCAAUCGAGGUAAGAAUAUAACAGGAUUACGUGCCCCUCAAAAAGGUUGGUCCACAAAACCCGCCCACUGCAACAAGUUAAACCCACCAUACAAUAAAAUUUGCAAUAGCAUGACAUAGAAAUUAUUUUAUUUUACAGCCUCUCAAGGAAAAUCAAUAGUUCAUACAUUUUCAGCACAUUUACCAAUUCAACCAUUCAUGCCAAUAUUAUCAUAAGCCAUUCAAUUCAAACCAUGAUUUAUAACACAGCAAUUAGUGUCCAAUUACUUCAUUUUCAAAACCAUCUUUCAAUUUCAAGACAAUUUUAUAAAAUCAUUUCAUUUAAUCACAUUUUUGCUUAUAAAACAUAAAGAUUUACCAUUUAAACUCAUUUUCCAUAAAAUCACAAAAAUGAAUUAAAAUUCACUUUAGAUAAUCAAGAUGAUGAUAAGGUUAUUCACUGUAUCAGGAGUUUGAAAUACUUCUAUUCUCAGUCCUCUGACACAACGUCUUUACCCUUGUUAGAGAGCUCACCACCUAUAUACAAUACACGACACAUAAUUCAAUAUAUUGUGUCAUACCAUUAUAAAUCUAUUUCAGACUCUUUACUAAUGCAUGAAAUGGGAUGUGAAAUGCUCGAGUAACCAUCUAAAUACGGUGUUCAAUAUAAGUUCAAUUGUGUACCUAACUAAAAUGGUAUCGGCCUAAUUCGAUCUAUCACCCGAUUAAUUGGCCAAUACGUCCAAUUCAACUCCAAAUAAUUUCAUUUUUCUCCCAAUACUCCAAAUCAUCAAACAUAAGUCAAAUAGCAUAAAAUUUAGCAAAAAUCAUCUUCACAUUUUCUCUUGGGAAUUUCGGCCAUGGUGGGUGCAUCAAUACUAUGAUUUUUCCUACUUGAUUUUCUCACCGUAAUUCAUCAUUUCCUAACCAAUUCACUUGAAAUAAAAUCAAAAUCAUCAUCAAUAUUCUACAUGGAGAAUUCGGCCAAUGAGGGUUAUGGAAGAACAUGAAUUUUUCUUGCUUGAUUUUCAUGCUACACAUCACCAAUCAACUAAAAACACUAGAAUAUCUUAAAAUCUAACCAAAACAAUCAUCAAAAUCUCUCUCUAAGUGUUCAGCCAGCAAAAUACCCAUCAUGAAAUCAUGUGAUUCAACCAUGAAAAAUGCAAAAGAAUGUAUGGGAAAGGUAGAUCACAAGUCAAAAUCAAGAAAUUUUACCUUUGAUUGCUUGAUACUUGAAAUCCACGAAUUUUCUCUUGAAUUUUCACUCUAGGGUUUUUGUUCUUUCUUUUCUUCCUUUGUUCGUGCUUUGGCCGGCCAUAAGAAUGAAUGUGGAAGAGUUCAAAUUGGCUUUAUAAAGGAAAAUAUUGAAUGGAGAAAAAUUUGACAUGUGUCACCAUUUCAUUGGUCCAUGUGUCAUACUUACCCAUUAAGCAAUCUCUCUCUACCACUUAAAUUUCCUCAAUUAUCCAUGAUAAUAUUGGGUAAAAUCCAUGUGCUGGACAAGUGUCGAGUGGUGUAGAAUUCCGAUUUUGCCCUUGGGCGACAAAAUGAUUAUUUUACCCUUAUGCUUUAAAAAAUGUCGAAAUUAAAAUUUUUCACUUCUUAAACUCAAAUUAUGUUCUAAAUAGUCAAUCUUGAUCAAAAACUUCUUCCAACAUUCCAAUUUUAACCUCAGGUGGCAAAAUGACCACUUUGCUCCUAGGUCAUCAAAAUUCCAAUUUGACUCUAUAUUGGUCCUCAAACUCCGAAUCACCAUCUUAAGUCAUUCUAGGGUUUUAAAAUUCACAAUUUCAUCUUAAAAUCUCUAUUUGUACUAGUUUGAGGUUUAAUUCAACUUAAUUGUACCAUUUGGUACAUUGUCGUCUUUUAACGAUUUUCAAGGUACCCAAGUAAUCAAACAUGCAUUCUUAUAUAAGAAUAGCAUAAUAAACAUAUUGUAGAGUCGGGCUUGACAUUUUAAACUCCAAUUUCCUUAUAUUUUCCUUCCUAAACAUGUGUACAAACAAAAUAUAACGUUUGCAUUCCAACACGGUAUCACCAUAAUAUUUAAAUAUAUACUUACCCGCGCUAGCUCAAUUUAGUAAAAACAAGUGGGCCCCACUAACAUCAUUUUUCCUUCAAAAUCCUUUCUACUUCUUCUCCUCCACUUGGAUUAGUCAUAUAACUCUUCUUUCUAACUAACUUCAAUAAUGAAUAAAAGAUUAAUAUUUUAAUAUUAUUUUAUUCAUAAAAUAUUAUUUCAUUCUAAAAUAUUCUUUUUGCUUGUCACCGCUCUCUGGCACUUAAAUUAUACGUCAAAUGACAUUUCAUGUUAUCGAUAAGGCCUUAUUGGCUUCCGAAUAAGGGUACAGGGCAUUAUAGUGGGCAUGUAAUUAAAAGAAAAGUUGAAAGUUCUUGAGAUGGCUACAUUGAGAUAAGAUAUAAUGUGAAGUAUUAAAAUGAACACUAUGUUGACUAAAGUCAAAUCUUAAGAAUAAAGAAGACAAGAGAGUAAGCCUUGUCAAAGGCUAAGGAAAGAGUGGGUGAAAGUUUAGAUGAAAGUAUGAAACAUUGAUAAAGGAAUGCCAAUACCAAGUGAGGGAAUUGUGAAUGAAGGAUUAUAAAGUUGGCGUAGCAAAUGAGCUAAUAUAACUAAAAGAUUGCUUUGAGGAUUUACAAAUCUUAUUUUGACAUAGUGGAAAGAAAAAGAGCAGUAACAACACGUUGUCAAUCAUGUGUCAUGCUAGAAACCCAUGAGCAUAAAUUGAGGUAUGAAUAGAUGAUUAUGCAUUCAGAUAUCUUGGAGAAUAAGUGUAUGCUUGUUGGAGUGGUAUGCUCGAAAUGCUAAUGAACAAAUAGGUAAUUAAGUGUUUCAAAAAUACAUCGAAGUUUUAAAAAGGAUGUACCAAACUACAUGUGGCAAGAAUGAUUGUUGGUAUUAUUUUGGAAUAUGUUAUAUGCACAAUGAUGUAAUGUGGUAUUUGGAAAUUGCUAAGGAGCCUAAUAGUUAAACCAUGAGUUAGGCAGUUACAUGUUGUGAGACAUAAACUUUAAGUGGGCAUUUGCAAGAAAAUACUCAAGAGGAAUCUACUAUGAAUCUUGUGAAAACAAGCAAUGAAUUGUGUAGUUACAAAAAAGAAGUUAUAAGUUUGAAAAUGAACACUUUUAAUGACAUUGAGAAGCAUUUAAGUAAAAUCCUGAUUCGAGUUUUAUAAUUACGAGUACUAAUCGUAUGAUGGAUAAAGAGGAAUGAUGUUACAUUAGUAUAAAAGAAUAGUACAAAAGAUGAUUGAAGGUAACCAUGCUAAUGAAGUCGGUUAAUGAAAACCUCCAAAUGUAUUAUGGAAAUUGAAAUUUGAAAACGUAUGAGUUAUGCAUGGCUCAAAUAAGUCUAAGUCUUAAGUGACUAAUUAAUAUUAAAAAGCAAUAAAGAUAUAAUGUAUAUGUUAGAGGUAUGAAAGAUAAUUAAGAAAUGAGGAUGACUUUUGGGAAUUGUGGUAUUGCAUAAGAUGCCAUGAUCAAGUAAUGAUGAAUCUUGAAGGGUCAAUGAGAUUAUAAAGCAUAUACAAAUAUUGGAUUGCAACUUAAUGAAAAGGAUGUUUAGCAAAUAAGAUGUGAUUAAUGACAUUAUGAUGCAAAAGGAUAUAUAUAGUACACUAAGACUUAUGCAUAUGAUUGGAAAUGAUAACAAAAAAAAGCAUAAACAUGUAAAUUAUGUGAAGUUAUGCAUAGGCACAAUGAGAAUCCGUAUGGAUUACACAAGAGAUAACUUAUGGUAGGAUGUAAGUUAAAUGGUAACUUAAACAUCCAAAAAGGUAAUCUGGAAUUGAUUAUGCCCUAAUAUUCAUGGAUUAAAUUUAAAUCAUAGGAAUGAAAUGGAAAAGUAAAAAGGGAAACAUGGACUACGAGAAUAUGAUUUUGAACCUUGGUUAUGGAUUACAAUGAAUAAAGGGAAUUUAGUUCGAACGCAGUUGACGAGGGUUCCUACGUAUAGUGAUAGAUGUCGACACUUAAAUGUGUUUGUACAUACAUAUAUGUGGAGAUGAUUAUGUGACCAACUAAAGUGAAGAAUUAUUCUUAGUGAUUUGAGAUUUGAACCCAAUAUGUUUGAUGAGAUGUAUAGAUGAUACAAUGAUAGAGGGCACUUUCAGAAAUUGAGUUAUGGUGAUAUGGAAGAAUUCUGAAGCAAUAGUCAAGGAAGGAAUAUCAGGAAAUGGAAUCUAUAGUGUGGUUAAGCCAUUCAAGAUGGGUUAAUAUGGUUGAGAUGUAAGAAUUGAUUAAAUUCUAAGACAUAGUUGUAUUGGACUCUCCAUAAGGCAAUAGUGCAAUGGAUGGAGAAUAAAUGGUGAUGGUACUAUAAUGUGAGUAUUUGGAGAAAUUGAUUAAGGAAGAUAAAAUUCAAUUUUGUCAAUGAUGAUCAAAAAGUUCUAAGUCACAAUAAUGAUAAUAUAUUUUGAGACAUGAAGAACUAGAGUUUAUGAAGAAAAUUUGGUGGUGAAUGAAAGGGCUUACAAUUAAAGUUAAAGAUCUGCAAGAGAGUUACCUUUCCACAUGAUAUAAAUUGUAUCGAAUUAAGAAUGAUGCAGAAGAGUAAACCUUUGAACGUGCAAUUAAUGGAAAAAUUAAGAAGAUUGGAGUCGCAUAAAUGCAAGAUAAGCAUGAAGUAUGAGAGAAUAAUUGAAAGAUUCAACUUCCCUUAAUGUCAAAAAUUUAUAUAGGAAGGAAUAGGGCAUAUUUAUAAUGCCAUAAAGUUAUGUAACAGUGAAUAGGGAUAAGAUGAAUGAAUUUUGAAAAGUUUAACAAGAAUUGAAAUAAAGAUGUGGUAAUUAGGUAUACAUAAGUAAGCAUGAUUUGUGAUCAAAAUCGGUAUGAUUGAGAUUGAGAUGUGUUUAAGGUUUGUAAUAGAGUUAAAGGCAUACUUGAAAUCUUAGUUGUAAGAGAAAACAAAUGAUGAAGGGUACCGUUGUUUUGUCUCAAGGUGAUAAAAGGUGUAACUUACGUACCUAAUCUUGUAAAGUGUUCUAGUUAAAUUGAAAGUAAACGAAGUGACUAAAUCAAAUUCCCUAUGAAGAAGGAAAUGGAAUAAGAUCAAAGAGUGAGAUUAAUGACCCACCUCUGAUGUGAAUUCAGGGAUGAAUUCUUUUUAAGUGGGGGAGACUGUAACAUCCCGUACCCUUGUAUGGAAGCCAAUAUGACCUUAUCGACAAGAUCAAGGGUCGAUUGAUGUAAAUCUAAGUGUCAAAAAAUAGUUAAAGGAUAAAGGAAUUUAAUACCUCGUACUUUGAUAUGGUGGCUAAUAAAGCUUAUCGGAUGUCAAUUAAGGUUAAUUAUAAUAUUUAAAAGUGAUGAAAGGUGAAAGAAAUAAUUUGGAGAAAAAUAUUUUGCACACGAAGAAAUAAUAAUUGAAUAAUAAUAUUUUUAUUGAGCAUGAAUUAGUGAGAUAAAAAGUGAUUUAGAAGUGAAUCGGGCCAUGAUAAGACAUUUUGGGUGCCAAGAAGACACAUGAAAAAUUUUAGAAUAAAAUAAUAAUUUAUUAAUAAAAUAAUAUUAAAAUAUUAUUAUUUUAUUCAAUGUCAAAAUUUUCCAUGAAGAAUGAGUAUAUGAUCAAUCUAAGUGGGGAAGAAGAAGAACGAGAAAAUUUCAAAGGAAAAUGACGUUAAUGGGGCUCGCGUGUCUUUAUUAAAUAAAACUAGCGCAAGUAAGUAAAUAUUUAAAUAUUAUGGUGAUACCGCGUUAAGCUAUAAACUUGAUAUUUUAUUGGUACAAGUGUUAAGGAAGAAAAAUAGGAAGAAAUUGGAAUUAAAAGAUUGUGGGAGGAAUUAAUUAAAAAUGGUGAAAACCUUGAAGGGUAAAAUGGUAAUUUUGCAUUAGUCAUCCUUAUCUCAUGGCCGGCCAUCAUGUCCAAGGCAUUAUCUUCCUUCUUGUUCUCCUUCCAAUGCCAUUUUCAUCCUCCACCAUAAAAAUCAAGCUUUUUUUCCAUUUUCUUUUGCUUCUUUUCUUUUCAUUUCUUUUCUUUUCUUACUUCUUUCUUCUCCUAACUUCUUGGGCACCAAACCUGCAGCUUCUAACUCCAUUUUUCAGCACAACUAAACCCUAGGAAGGAGAAGGAAAAAUCUCUCUUUCUUUCCUUUAUUUUCUAUUUCUACUCCGCCAUCAUCGCCAACACUUGAAUUUUCAACUUCAAAUCUCCAUUUUUAAGGCUAAAAGGUAUAUAUUUUCAACUCUUGAAAUUUAUGAAUUUAUGGGUUAUAUUUUCAGAUUUUAUUUCCUAAUUUCUUCAAAUUCCUUUUCUUGGAAAUAUUAGGCUUUUGUUGAUCUUUAUGCCUCCAAGCUCACCAAGGUAAAGAACUUUUAAAUUGGAAUAGUUGAUAUGAUGGGUUUGAGAAUUAGACUAGAAUUUUAGGUUAAAAAUUAGGCUAAAAUGUAGUUUAUCAAGCGUAUGAUUAUUUGAAUUAUUAAGUUUAAAUUUAUGAUAUAUUUGAAGCUAUUAUCGUUUAUUGGCAAUUAUAGGUUUUAAUGGUAUUUCGGGACUACCUGGAUUAAGAUUUUGUUAGGUGGCAUCGUUAGGUGAGUGAACUUGCAUUUAAAAAUGUUUUAGGAUAAAUACACAUGUGUUUGAAUGAAUCAUUUGAAAACUUUAUUUGCCUUUGCUUUAAAAUGUGCUUGGGAACAAGCCCUUGAUGAAAUGUCUUUAUGUUGUGAAAUUGUGCAAUGUAAUUAACUCAUGUGUUCCUAAAUUAUGCAAUACGUAUAAUGUGAUGAAUUACAUAUUUGAAAUAUUAUGUUGAAUUGACAAUUGAUUUGUGGCAUGUGAUGUAUUGUUAUGCAAAGAUACUUGUUACAUGUGCCAUGCAUUGAAAUGUAAUGUUGAAUGAGAAUUGUAACAACACGUGUGCGGCGUGGGAGUGCACAUGCUGGUGAUGACGAGUAAUUCCAGCUAUGUGCGGUGUGGGAGUGCACAUGAGCUGAUGACCGACGGGUGAUGAUUCCAAGUAUGUGCAGUGUGGGAGUGCACAUGAGCUGAUGACCGAUGGUUGUAUACAUGUUUACACAUACCAUAGAAAUGUUAGAGAAAAUAUUAUUUGAUUGCAUUGAAUGUUGAAAGUUGAACUUCCUAAAUGUUUUAAAAUGAGUUUAAGAACAGCACAUCAUCGAGUUUUGUUCAUAAUAUACAAGUUUGCAUUGCUUUUAAAUGAGUGCAUCAUGUUUUCGAAAAACUCUCCGUAUCGUUUGCUUGUUCGUUUCCUAUGUUCACUCACUGGAUUUAUCUCACUCUUUUUAACUUCAUGUUUUCAAAUUCAGAGGUAGUUGGGACCUAGAUUGAAGUGUCCAUUUGUAUUCGCCAUUUGGUAGGUACCAUGGCAUUCUGUAGAGGCACCCACAUCCAGAGUCACUCUGCUGAUAGUCAAGGUCUUUUGCAUGAGUAUAUAUAGUUACUUAAAUAUAAAUUAUGAGAUUGUUGUGCACUUUGUAUGUUGAUUGAUUAACCAUGUCGUUUAGGGUUGACGAAUGAUAAUCCUAUUUUGGGAACGUUAUAUAUAUAUAUAUAUAUAUAUAUAUAUACUACUUNAUAUAUAUAUAUAUAUACACUUGGUUCUCACAGUCUAAUUUCAAAAGAACAUUCAUUAGAAAUUACAAGUAUUAGAUCUUAAAGAAAGAGAGGCUUGCUUGGGCCUGGUGGGCUAUGCCUAUUAGGCCCUUGCGCCGGUCAUAGCUCGGGAAUUGGGCUGUGAUAGGAAUAUUUUGAAAUAAAAUAUUCUGCACGUGAGAAUAUAGUAAUUAAGUAGUAAUAUUUUAUAAAGAAUGAAUUAACGAGUUAAAAAGGUGAUUCGGAAGAUAACCGGGACAAAGUGAGACAUUUUGGGUCUCGAGGAGACAAGUGGAAAAUUUUAAAACAAAAUAAUAAUUUUUGAAUAAAAUAAUAUUAAAAUAAUGCCGAUGUCAAAUUGGUUAUAUUACAUGAAGAAUGUGCAAUUUGUACAAUUUGUCUAAGUGGGGGAGUGGAAGUAAGGAAGAAUUUUGAAGAAAAUGACAUUAGUGGAGCCUGCAUGUCUUUAUUAAAUAAAGCUAGAGCGGGUAAGUAUAUAUUUAAAUAUUAUGGUGACACCUUGGUGAAGCGAAAAUUUGAUAUUUUAUUUGUACAUAUGUAAAGGAAGAAAGAUAGAAGGAAAUUGGAAUUAAAAGAAAUGAUUGAAGUACCAAAUUGUAAAGGAUGAAAAGUAUGGAGGGUCGAAUGGUAAAUAAAGCAAAGUUGAGGACUUAUGUGCAAUUACAAUAUUUGAAGCUAAAUGGAAAUUAACUAACCAAGGAAAAAUUAGGUUGUGUGGGAGGAUGGAAUAUGCAUGUAAAUUCACUAUUACAUGCAAAAAUAUGCAUGCAAGGAGAAAGUUAAUGGGGAACAUGUGGGACCCCCACCAUGUGAAGUAAAAAGAAAAGUAAGCUUAAAUCUAUUUGUAUGUAAGGACAUUGGUGCAUUAGGUGGCCAAAUGAGAAAUAAGAUGGGAGAAUGCAUGAAGGACCAUUGGUUGGCAAAGUGGUCAAAUGAAAAUAAAGGAAGAUUGGUGCAUAUAUUGCGAUUGGUUCCAAUAGGCGGCCAUAUAAAUACUAAGUUGCAAGAGUGAAAGAGAGAAGUGAAGAGGACUUUGGUGAGACUUGAGGGCUAGCCAUUUAAAGAAGAAAAGAAAGGAAAGAAAGCUUGAGAGGUUCCUCCCAAAGUAGAGAUUACUUAACGUGCCACACAUUUUGGGAGCAUGCAUACUUUUAUACUAUUAUUCGUAUUUUGAUGCAAAGUGAUGCUUUUAAUGUUUGAAAUCUAAUUUUGAUACGUUCGUUUUUGGCAUCUUUUGCCAAGUGAAAUAUUGCAUUAUGAUUUUAAGGCAUUAUUUUUACGAGGCACAAACACCUUACUUGUGAUUUGAUUUUUCUAAUAUUAUCAUUUUUUAUUUCGAUUUUACUAUUCAAAAGAUCUACUUAAGCUUGUUUCUCAUCUACACCAUACUCACGGAGCCGAUGAUCACUAAGUCUAUGAGACUCACCCCUUUUUUUCCCUUUUACAAAUAGUGAUCGGCCUAGAGUGUAACCAUUGGCACUUCUGGUCCACCGCGGAUAGGUAAAGGCAUCUCAUAGCACUUUAUUUGGAGUCGCUCCACUACUAAAGGUCGAGUCGGUCAUAGCAUAAGUUAAUUAUAGAUAGUGUCAAUGUAAAUGUGCAGUUGAAUAUUAUAGACUUUAACGUAUCCUUACAAUUAUGGUGAAUAAAGGUUAUGAUGGCUUAUUAUGAUUUAUGUCCAAAUCUUAUUACAAGAGUUAUAUGGUUCAAGGUAAUUUUACAGGUUGAUGGCAUGAAUAUGAAGUCAUAACAUGGAUUGGUAAACGAGUAUAGUGAAUUAAUGGGAAUUUCUAAUAAGGCUUGCUUAGGGCUUGGCUGGUUUUUUCUGGAGGUCUCGAACACCGAUAACGAUCGAAGAGCAGUCGUUACAGUUAUAGACAUCAAAUCUUAAGGUCAAGCAAGAUGAGAUAUCAUGUAACCAUGUGACUUGACCAAAAUUAUAGAUGAGCUAAAAAUGUUUUUCAGAAAGUUUAAUUGUGUUCAUCAUAAUCAAUUUCAUAUGCAUAACCAAGAAAUCAAUUUUGACACAAUCAAUUAAGGACAAUAAUAAAGUAUAUUCCAAAAAUUGAUUCUAGACAAAGCAUUUUAGCAUUUCAAUUUCUCAAGAAAUUUGUAACGACCCGUUUCUCGAUCGUUACCGACGUUCGAGUCUUGCAGAAGAACCCACCAAGUCCCAAACAAACUGUAUUAGAAACCAUUGUUAAUACAUUAUAUUCAUUCCACCUAUUCAUAUAAUCACUUUGAACCGUAUAACUCUUUGUAAUAUGAUUUAAUCCAAAAGUAGUAAUAAAUUGACUUAAACUUUAUUUCGCAUAAUUGUAAAAAUACAUCAAAGUUUAUAAUCUCCAAAUGUACAUUCGUAUUAACACUAAUGUCUAUUUUCAUAACAAAAUAAACUAUGACGACUUGACCUCUAGUAACAGAUUGACUCAAAAUGAAGUGCAAUGAGAUGCCUUUACCUAUCUGCAAUAGACAAUAAGUGCCGAUGAAUGCACGCUAGGCUGAUCACUUAUCUACAAAAAGGGAGAUAAGGGGGUGAAUCUCAUAGACUUAGUGAUCAUCGGCUUCGUGAGCAAGAUGAAGAUGGGAAACAAGCUUAGAGUAGAUAAUUUGGAGUAUAAAAUGAUAACCUUAUUAAACCAAAUAACAAAUAAGGUGUUUAUGCCUUGUAAAAAUAAUUUCGUAAAAAUCAUAGUGCAAUACUUUCCUUACCAAACCAUGCAGAAAACGAAGCGUAGUAAAAUAAAUUUCAAUUAAACAGGGGAGUUGCGAAAAAACAAUAUCUCUCCACCAUGCAAAAGAGUACAAGUCUAAAAACUCUCAAGGCUCUCGAGUGGGUAAUCAUAGAUGAUCAACCCGUGGAUCUUUUUCCACAUAAUAACAAUCUGGGAGGCCCCCCUCCACCAGAUUCCCAUAGCCAUGGCAGUCUCGACAAUGUUGGCCAACAUCGGAGAAAUCAUGUGGUCGCAACCAUGUAUAUCAACUCAUGGCCUUGUCACGUAUAACAACUCAUGGCCUUGCCAUGUAUAAUCACAGAUCGUGGCCUAGCCAAGUCUAACAGCCCGUCGGUGUCCCAAAAGGUUCUGUAGCUAAAGCUCACUUGUGCAUAAAGGUCACACUAUCCUGAUGUGACAUUUGGCCUACUCUCGAUGCUCUCUGUUUGUCAAAGCCAUUUUCAAAACCAAAUCAAGGUUCCCAAGAGUUUCCCUUAAAUCAUUUGAAAACAAGGUUUGAUAACCUUUCAAAAAUUGCUUUUCACUUUAAAAUGCAUGGUGUAAACAUUUGCAUAUAGCUUAGAUUAAACCGGCUCACAAGAAAUCAAAUUUAAGCCAUUUAUCAAGUGCAAUCAACUAUGCACACUUCACAAAGAUUCAAGGCACGGUUUUGAUGCAAAACAUUGCAAAAAGGCUUGUUUUCCUGUUUUUAAAGCACUUUACAUAUAUGUAUAUAUAUAUAUAUACAUACAUACAUAUAUAUAUAUAUAUAUAUANNNNNNNNNUAUAUAUAUAUAUAUACUAUACAUACAUAUAUAUAUAUAUAUAUAUAUACAUACAUACAUAUAUAUAUAUAUAUAUAUAUAUUCUACGCAAACAACUUCCAAAUCAAUUUGCAUCCAUAAUUGCCUAUGGUUUCUACCAGCUCAUGCUUUCCACAAAAGCAGUGGAGGUGCCACAUGUUCCCCACUACUAGUGCAUCCUUGCAUGCAUAUCUUUGGAUAUAAUAGUAUUUGUUUACAUGCAUAUUCCAUCCUCCCACAUAAUCUAGUUUUCCUUGGUUAGUUAAUUUUCAUUUAAUUUCAAAUGUUGAAAUUACACAUAAAUCCUUAAACUUUUUCUUAUUUACCAUUUGACCCUCCAAAACUUUUCAUCCUUUACAAUUUGGUCCUUCAAACAUUUCAUAAACUACAAUUUGAUCCUUCAACUUGUUCAUAAUUAUAGCUUUACCCCUUUACUUUUCGUUAUUUGUAAUUCCACCCCUUAACUUCUUAUUCUUUUCAAUUAGGUCCCCCCAUCAUUCCUUUAAUUCCAAUUUCUUUCUAUUUUUCUUCCAUUGCAGUUGUACAAAUAAAAUAUCCAAUUGACACUUCACCAAGGUAUCACCGCAAUAUUUAAAUAUAUACUUACAUUCUUUUGCUUUAUUUAAUGAAGGCAUGUGAGCCCCACUUACGUUUUUUUUCUUCAAAAUUCUUUCUUUCUUUUUCCCCCCUACUUAUAUUAGCCAUGUAGUCCUCCUUCAAGACUAAUUUCAACAAAGAUAAAAUAUUAAUAUUUUAAUAUUAUUUUAUUACUAAAAUGUUAUUUUAUUCCAAAAUUCUCCACUUGUUUCCUUGAGCCUUAAAGUGUCUUAUUUUGUCCCGAUUCACUUCCAUAUCACCUUUUAACUUGCUAAUUCAUCUUCGAUAAAAAUAUUAUUAUUUAAUUAUUAUUUUCUCGCAUGUGAAAUAUUUUAUUCCACAAUAUUCCUUUCUCCUGUCACCACUCUUUGGCAAUUAAAUUUACAUCAAUUGACCCUUCGUCCUGUCGAUAAGGUCUUAUUAACUCCUAUACGAGGGUACGGGGUGUUACAAUCUUUCCCAUUUAAAUAAAAUUUGUCCCCGAAUUCAUGUCAGCAUCGUGUUAUUAAUCUCACUCUAUGAUUUUAUUUCAUUUCCUUAUUCAUAGGGAAUUUGAUUUAUCCACCUCGUUUACUUUUAGUUCGACUAGAACACUUUACAAGAUUAGGGUACGUAACUUAUAUCUAUUAUCAUCUUUGAAUCAAAACAACGGUACCCUUCACAAUUGUUCUCUCUUAUCAUUAAGAUCCCGAGUAUGCCUUUAACUCCAUUACUAACCUUAAAAAUAUCUUUAUUUUGAUUCUUGUCAAACUUCUCGACAUUCAUUCAUCUUAUCCCCAAACACUAUUACAUAGCUUAUGGCAUUAAAAACAUGCCUUAUUCAUUCCUAUACAUAUUUCCAACAUUAGGGAAGUUGAAUCUUUGUCACAACCCAAUCUCGGGCCAUGAUCGGUGCAUGGACCUAAUAGGGAUAGCCCAUCGAGCCCAAGCAAGCCUUUCUAUGAAAACUUGUUCAUUAGACCAUUUGUCCUUCAUUUACCUUUAAGGUUCUUAAUUCAUAAUUAUCAAAAUAAUUUAUUCUCAAGGAUAAAUCAGGGCAACCGAACAUAUACUGUUCACAAAAUAAUAUUACCAUUUGCCAACUUGUGGCGAUAUUACUAUUCAAGCCAAACAUGCAAUGUUUAUAACCAAUCUCAUGAAUUACAUUUAAAUAGCCAUAUAAACAUACAACAGACCUUGACUAUCAGCGGAGUGACUCUAGCGUGGAUAUUAUCAUGGGGUGUUCUAGUAAACCUACUGUAAGAUUAAUAGGAGGAAGUGCCUCUACCUAAGAUCCAACUAUCUUCGAACUUGAAAACAAAAACAUGAAUUUGAAAAGAAUGAGUAUAAACCUAGUGAGUGAAUAUAUGAAGGGAAUAAGCAAACGAUAAGGAAAGUUUUAGAAAACAUGAUGGACUUAUAUUGAAAAUAAUGCAAUUUGGUUUAAUUUCUUCUUAAAAUCGCUCAAUUCAACCCUUGAUUAUUUAAUGCCUUAGUAUUGAAAGAUCCAUGAUCAACAGUUAAGUUAAAGAGUGAAAACUAUAGUAGAGUCCAAGCAGGGCAAGCAUGGCAGAGUGAAUCUCACUACAGUGAGAAUGAAUUCAGGGCAAAAUUUUUAACCAACCAAAUGGGAGUUUCUCGCUGUAGCGAGAAUAUAUUUUCGCUGCAACAAAAAUCUGGGCUAGUCAAGCCCCCAACACUUGAGAGUUUCUCGCUGCAGCUAGAAUGAAUUUCGCUACAGCAAGAAACAAGGAAAUGAAAUUAAGAGAAUUCUUGUCACAAUGAAAAUCCAUUUUUAUAAAAGUGAAAAUCAAUUAGAAAGCAUUUGUCAAAUUUUAGCAUUCAAUAUUCAAUGCAAACACAUAAUAUUUUCCCUAACCUCCCUAUGGUAUGUGUAUACAUGUAUACAACUCCCAUCUCACCAGCUCAUGCGCACUUCCACAUCGCACAUAGCUAGAAUCAUCUUGUGCACUCCCACACCGCUCAAGGCAAUAUAUCAUCAGUGUGUGCACUCACACAGCACACCACUAUCAUUGUCAUGUGCACUCACAUAGCACACCACUAUCAUUGUCAUGUACACUCUCAUACCGCACAUGGCAUAUAUCAUCAGUGUGUGCACUCACACAGCACACCACUAUCACCAUCAUGUGCACUCCCACACCGCAGACGACAUAUAUCAUCAGUGUGUGCACUCACACAGCACACCAUUAUCAUCGUCAUGUGUACUUCCACACCGCACACGCACGGUUACAAUUGUCACUCAAUAGUGCCAUUCAAUGCAUGACAUACAAAUCAACAUAAUGUAGAAACACAUGAGUUCAUCACAUUCAUAUUUCACAACAUAAAAAUGUUUCAUCAAGGGCUUGUUCCCAAGCAAAUUUUAAAGAAAGGCCAAUAAAAUAUUUCAAGUGGUGAAAUCAAGCAUAUAAUCAUUUAUUCCAAAAUAUUUUAAUCCAAGUUCACUCACCUUAACAAUGCUACCUAACGAAACUAGCGCCCACAAGAUCUUAAUUCAGGUAGUCUCAAAAUACCAUUAAAACCUAUAUUUACCAAUAAACCUUAACAACCUCAAUUGAGUCAUAAUCUGAAUCUAAUAAUUUUAGUAAAUGUAUACUAUACAAUCUACACUUUAACCUAACACUUAACUUAGAAUUUUAGUCUAAUUCUCAAACCCAUCAUAUCAACUAUUCCAAAUUUAAAGAUUCUUUACCUUGGAGAGCUUGGAGGCAUGAAGAUAAAAAAAAAACCUAAUAUUUCCAAGAAAAAAAAUUUGAAGAAAUUAAGAAAUAAAAUCUGAAAAUAUAACCCAUAAAUUCAUAAAUUUCAAGAGUUGAAAAUAUUUACCUAUUAGCUUCAAAAAUGAAGAUUUGAAGCCAAAAAUUCAAGUGUUAUUUAAAGUGGAGUAAAAAUAAAAAAUAAAGGAAAGAAAGAGAGAUUUUUUUUCUCUCUCUUAGGGUUUAGAUGUGCUGAAAAAUGAAGUUAGAAGUUUCAAGUUUGGUGCACAAGAAGUUUGGAGAAGGAGGAAGUAAGAAAAGAAAAGAAAAGAAAACAAGGAAAAGAAAAUGAAAAAUCUUGAUUUUUAUGGUGAAGGAACAAAAAUGGAGUUGGGAGGAGAUGAAGGAGGAAGGUGAAGCCUUGGACACAAUGGCCGACCAUGGGAUAAGGAUGGAGAGUCAAAGCUUCCUUUAGAAGCUUUGACCAAGCUUUAUGAAAAAUUACUGUUUUACCCUUUAAGGUUUUCACCCUUUUUAAUUAAAUCCUCCCACAAUCUUUUGAUUCCAAUGUCUUCCUAUUUUGCUUCCUUAACACUUGUGCCAACAAAAUAUCAAGUUUAUAGUUCAACGCGGUAUCACCAUAAUAUCUAAAUAUUUACUUACCCGCGCUAGCUUUAUUUAAUAAAGACACGCGAGCCCCAUUAACGUUAGUUUUCUUCGAAAUUUCCUUGUUCUUCUUCUCCCCCACUUAGAUUGACCAUACACUCAUUCUUCAUAGAAAAUUUAGACACUGAAUAAAAUAUUAAUGUUUUAAUAUUAUUUUAUCCUAAAAUUUUUUUUGCGUCUUUUUGGCACCCAAAAUGUCUUAUUAUGCCCCAAUUCACUUUCGAAUAACCUUUUUAUCUCGUUAAUUCAUCCUCAAUAAAAAUAUUAUUAUUCAAUUGUUAUUUCUUCAUGUGCAGAAUACUUUUCUCCAAACUAUUCCUCUUACCUUUCAUCACUUUUAAACAUUCUAAUUAACCUCAAUUGGCCUCUGAUAAGCUUUAUUAGCCACCUUAUCAAAUUACGAGGUAUUAGAAUCUUUCAAUUAUUCCCUUAUACUUCAUGUUUAUCUUGUAUUUAUGCAAUUUAAAUCUUCUUAAUCAUAUUAAUCCAUUUUGUAUGGCUUAACCAUGCUAUAGAUUACAUUUCCUUGAUAUCCUUCCUUUGACUAUUGCUCUAAAGUUUUUUAUAUUAACAUAACUCAAUUUCUGAUGGGAUCUCUUGUCAUUGUAUCAUCAAUACAACUCAUCAAACAUAUUGAGUUCAAAUCUCAAACCAUUAAGAAUAAUUCUUCACUUUAGUUGGUCAGAUACAUAUACGUAUGUACACACACAUUUAAAUGUCAACAUUCAUCACCAUGAGUAGGAAUCCUUGUGUCAAAUGCGUUUGGACUAAAUUUCCCUUUAUUCGUUCUAAUCCAUAACCAAGAUUCAAUAUCAUAUUCUCAUAGUUCAUGUUUUCCUUUUUACUUUCUCAAUUUCGACAUUUCUAAUUUACCUGUCCAUUUCAUUCCCAUAAAACAUAUUUAAUCUAUGAACAUUGGGGUAUAAUCAAUUUCAUAUUACGCCUUGGGAUGUUUAAUUUACCUAUCAACUUAUAUCCUAACAUAAGUUAUUGUCACGACCCAAAUUUUGGGCCAUGACCGGCAUAAAGGCCUAAUAGACAUAGUCCAUUAAGCCCAAGCAAGCCUAUUAAUUUGACAUGUUCAUUAUUCCAUCAUAAACUGCUAAGUCAUAUUUCAUAACUUAGAAUAAAAAAUAAUGGUAAACAUUGCCACUUCAUACUGGCAUAUUGAACAAGUGUAUAUACAUUAUCUACAACAUGAAUCUUAAUAAUUUACAUUAGGUUUGUCUAUACACAACAAAAGAAUACUCGACUUCCAGCGGAGGGACUCGGAUGAAUGUACAGCUACUGAAUGUCGAGACACCUACCAAAAGAUGGAUACAAGUCUACAAGGACACCUCGUCCUAGUUACCGACUGCCUCGUGAUCUGAAAACAUGAAGUUGAAAACGGUGAGUAUAAACCCAGUGAGUGAACAAGGAAGGGAACAAGCAACAACAAGGGAGAAUUUAAAAUCAUGAUGCACUUAUUUCAAAACAAUGCAAUUUAGUUCCAUUCAUAUUAAAAACCCCUCAUCGAGCCCUUAAAUGAUUAAUCAUUUGAAAAUCAUAAACCCAUACAUAACGAACCAUUUGAAGAAUGAAAGCUUCAAUGAUACGCAAGCAAGUCAAAUACGACACUAAGAAUGCCUUUCCGUUGUAGCGACGUUGGGAUUUAGUUAUUAGCCGAACGAGGGUUUCUCAACUGGCUGAAGGUUUCUCACUAAACCUCCUCAUUUUAAACUUAACUCAUUUAAUCCUUAAUGUUGAAAGUCCAUGCUUAGAUAUGAUAGCAAAGAAGUGAAAAAUAGGGCAGCAAUUCGACAAGAUAGGAGACAAAACAUAAAGUUUUUCAUUGCAGCGAUAUUCAAUCUCGCUGCAGCAAAUUGUAACCCAGAAACAGAAAGUUUCUCACUACAGCAAAAUUGCAACCCAAAAACAGAAAGUUUCUCACUGCAGCGAAAAUGAAUUUCGCUGCAGCGAGAAGCUAUAGUGUCAUUCUCGCUGCAGCGAAAAUGCAUUCUCGUCAUAGUGAGUUUCCUGCCAGUCUACCCCUCCAAACCAGAGAGUUUCUCGCAACAGCAAAAAUGAUUCUCGCUGUAGUGAGAAACAGGGCACCAAUGAAAAAUUUGCCCUUCUUCCCAAAGAAAUACCACCCUGCUGAAAUGUCUAAACCAACAUGGAACGCAUAACAAUUUUCCAUAGUUUAACAUGUCAAGUUUCACAUGCAUUACAACUAGAUACCAUUACUCAUUUAUUUCCUAUAUCACACAUAUUUACAUAUGUAUAUAUAUGUAUACGUAUACCCAUAAUCAUCAUGCACACCAUCCCAUCAUCAUCAUCACCAGCUCAUGUGCACUCCCUACUCGCACAUGGCUGGGUUAUCACCGGGUUAUGCGCACUCCCUACUCGCACAUAACCAUGUCAUCCUCGGCUUACGCACACUCCUUACUCGCACAUAGCAGAGUCAAUGUCAUUACACAAUAAUAUAUUCAUAUAUAUAUAUAUCAACACAAUGUGGUAGUGCAUGUAUCAAUAAUAGUCACAUGUCACAACAUAAACCAUUUCUCAAGAGCUUAUUCCCAAGGCACUCAUUUUUAAGAAAAGUUGUAUAAAAUCAUUCAAACACUUUGUACAAAGCAGUCAUAUUUCCAAAAUAGUUUUGAUAGGCAGUCCACUCACCGGUUGAUUGUAGAGCCUUUAGCUGACUCUAAUUCCCCUAAUGAUCCAAUUGUAAGGAUGGGACUUCAUUAGAACCUAGGAUCACAUUAGCAUAAGCAAUAGGUCAAUUCACACACUAUGGACCCUAAAAGCUAUCUCUUAGCUAGCUUUCAAUUGCCACAUUAAAUGGCUAUCUAUGUUCACUAUCUUAAUCACAAAAAAAGUAAUGAACAUACUCAACAAUAAAACAGCUCUUAAUCUAAAUUACUAGCCAUUAUUGACAGCUAAAAAUCAAGCUUGGUUCAUUACUCACCCUAGGGUUCCUUUGUAGUUGAAUUCUCUUCCAAUAGCUUCCACACAAAUGGGGUAAUUCUCUCUUCUCUCUCUAGAAUGCCCAACUAGUGAGAGAAAGUAUAGAAAUAAGAUUUUUUCAAGGGUUUUAAGGAGUGAGAGUGGAAGAAUACAAGGGUUCUAGUCAAAAGGGCUCAAAGGUAUGAAAACUAGAACUAGAGAAAGAAAAUCAUGCAAGCUCCAUAUCAAGCUUCCAUGGAGGUUGGAAGCAACGUGAAAGAGAAGAAGAAGAAAAAGACAAGCUGCUGAAAAUGGGAGAAGAAUCUUCUAGAAGAAAGGUAUUUAUAGCCAAUCUUAUCCAUUCCCUUAAAAUUACCAAAUUGCCCCUCCACCAAUUAACUUACUCUCCUCCAACCUUCUAUGAAAUCUUUUUACUCCUUUGACAUUGGGACAAGAUCCAUAAUGGUCUAGACGUACUCGAGUUCAUAAAAACUUAAAAUUUUAACCCGAAGUGAAAAAUGACUAUUUUGCCCCUGCCGUGAAAAUCAUCAAAAUUUUGGUGUCCUUUCCAUUUUACCCCUAAUUUCACCAUCCAUUUAUGCCUUAGGCCUACUUAGACCAUAAUAUUGUUUAAAAAUCUUACUUUUAUGGGCUUACUAAAGAAAUGACAAAAUUAUCCCUGAUCAGGGAUAUCGCGUAUACUUUCCUUUACGAGUCUAUAAAGGUCAAGGUCUCACAAUUAUCUCUUAUGUAAUCCAUACGGAUUCACAUUAUGCCUAUGCAUAUCUUCGCUUCAUUUAUUGCUCAUACUCCAUUUUAUCAUCUCUAAUCAUAUGAAUAAUUUUCAUUAUACCAUGUAUCCUUGCAUCACAAUGUCAUAAUCACUUCUUAAUUACCAAUUAUCAUUUUCAUCAAAUUAAAAUCCGGUAUCCGUGUAUGCUUUAUUAUCUCAUUAAUCCUUCAAAAUUCAUCUUCACUUGAUCAUUGCAUCUCAUGCAAUACCACAAUUCCUAAAAGUCAUCUUCAUUUCUCAAUUAUCUUUCAUACCUUCAACAUAUAUAUUAUAUCCUUGUUGCAUUUCAAUAUCAAUUAAUCACUUAAGACUUUGGCUCAUUUGAAUCAUGCAUGCCUUAUGCAUUUUCGAAUUCCAAUUUUCACAAUGCAUUAGGAGGUCUUCUGUCAUGACCCAAAUUCCAAGCCAUGAUCGGUGCAUGGGCCCAGUGGAUGUAGCCCACUAAGCCCAAGCAAGCCUCUUUACGUAAUCCCGUUCACUAUCCCAUCAAUUUUUCAUCACCAUUACUAGACCAUUAUUUGUAAUUUGCAACUAGACAUAUUUUCAUAAUACAACACAGAUACCAAAAAUUUACAUAUGUAUGAUAUCAAAAUAAGUUUAUUCAUAGCCAUCUCAUAAUGGCACCAUCAUUCCAAACUAUACAUGCAUCAUUAGCAAAGUGAUUCCUAGCAAUUUACAUUUAAUGUACAUGUACUCAUAUAAAAGACUUUUGAUGACUAGCGGAGUGACUUUGGCGAGGGUACGGCUAUCAAGUGCCAUGAUACCUACCAAGAGUGAAUGCAAGUGGAUGCCUUGUCUUAGUCUCAACUAUCUACGGAUUUGAAAACUCGCAAUCUAAAAGAGUGAGUAUAAACUCAGUGAGUGAACAUAAGAAGUCAACAAGCAACGACAAUGAAUGUUUUAGAAAGCAUGAUGCACUUACGAUAAACAAUGCAAUUUAGUCUAAUUUUUUUGUUAAAACCCCUCAUUUCAAACUUUGAAUGUUUAAUCCCUUAAUGUUACAAGAUCCAUGAUGAACCAUAAAGUUGAAUAGAAUGAAAAUUUCAGCAAUGACUAAGCAAGACAAACAAACAGAGGGUUUUCUCGCUGUAGCGUAAAGGCAUUCAUAGUUUACAUAUGCUUUGGUUUUUCAAGUAUAUCUCCCACGACAAAAGUCCAAUUGACAUGAUUUUUGGUCAUUAGAAAGCUAAGAGGCUGGGCUACAACUUUGAUGUUUACCAUUUUGCCUAGUUCUGAUUGAAAGGUGGUCAAAAUCUAUGUCAAAGUGAAAGCACUGCACCAGAAUUUUGGAACCACUCGAGAGUUUCUCGCCACAGCGAGAAGUUUCAGGAAAUUUCUCGCUGCAGCGAGAACCAGGCCAGUGUAACCGCCCCUAACCCUUGAGUUUCUCGCUGCAGCGAGAAUGAAUCUUGCUGUAGUGAGAAACAGAGCAAUUUAGUUAAAAGGGGUAUUGUUACAUCAAAAAGUCAUUUUCUUGGGGAAAUGAAAAGCAAUUUUGGAGCAAUUAACAAUGCCAACAUACAACUCAAUCACAAUUAUUUUCAUAAACUUUCUAUCACAUAUAUACAUAUAUAUAUGUAUAUACAUAUAUCAUCAUGCAUACCAUCCCUCCACACUCAGCUCAUGUGCACUCCCUACUCGCACAUAGCCAGGUCAUCAUCAGAUCAUGGGCACUCUCACACCGCUCAUAGCUAGGUCAUCAUUAGCUCAUGUGCACUCCCACACAAAAGGAGCAUCCAAACCAUAAUAUACAUAUCAAUAUAAUGUGAUAACGCAUGAACUGUUCAUAUUGCACAUUUCACAAGAUAGAAACAAUUCAUCAAAGGCUUGUUCCCCAAGUAAAUUAUUUUUAAAGCAAAAAUAAAUGAAACUUUCAAAUGAUUUAUUUAAGCAUAUAGGCACUUCCCAAUGCAUUUUGAAAUGCAAGUUCACUCACCAGUAGUUGUUAAAUCUUAGAUCGAUUCCAAUUUCCACUAAUGCUCCAAAUGGAGAUGUGGGGUCUCGUUGGAACCUAUCACACACAAUAGCAUCACAAAUCAACUCCAUUCACAUAAUCAUAAUUCCAAAAGCUAUCUCCUAAAUCAUGUUCUACUAGUCAUUCCUAAUUAGCUUCCAAUUGCCAUUAAGCAGCUAUUUACUUUCACUAUUCUACUCACACUAAAGAUGAAUAAAUAAUCCUCAACUACAAAACAUUCACAAAUUUAUCCACUAGCCAUUUUCAACAACUUAAAAGUAAACUCUAA
rnacentral:lncRNA from 1 species